rnacentral:tRNA from 1 species
GGAUUGUGGCUUAGCGAUAGAGUGCUCACCUCGAAUGUAUGAGGUCCUGGGUUCGAUCCUCAGCACCU